AGAGUGCUAAAUGAUGUAUCAUGCUUAAUUUCGACUUAAGUUUAGGUGUUACCAGUGCUAG
rnacentral:tRNA from 1 species